rnacentral:rRNA from 1 species
UACGUAGGUGGCAAGCGUUGUCCGGAAUUAUUGGGCGUAAAGCGCGCGCAGGCGGUCUUUUAAGUCUGAUGUGAAAGCCCCCGGCUCAACCGGGGAGGGUCAUUGGAAACUGGGAGACUUGAGUGCAGAAGAGAAGAGUGGAAUUCCACGUGUAGCGGUGAAAUGCGUAGAUAUCGAGAGGAACACCAGUGGCGAAGGCGAGUCCCUGGACACUUCCUGACACUGAGGCACGAAAGCUAGGGGAGCAAACAGG